UACGGCCUACGGGGGGCAGCAGUCGAGAAUCAUUCACAAUGGGGGAAACCCUGAUGGUGCGACGCCGCGUGGGGGAAUGAAGGUCUUCGGAUUGUAAACCCCUGUCAUGUGGGAGCAAAUUAAAAAGAUAGUACCACAAGAGGAAGAGACGGCUAACUCUGUGCCAGCAGCCGCGGUAAUACAGAGGUCUCAAGCGUUGUUCGGAAUCACUGGGCGUAAAGCGUGCGCAGGCUGUCUCGUAAGUCUUGUGUGAAAGGCGC
rnacentral:rRNA from 1 species